AAAGAUGCAAACUGAAAGAAAGGAAUGGUGGAGUGCUAUUUGCAUGAUCCGUUUCUUCAGAGAAAGAGCUAAUGUUUGUGUUUGUUUGUUGGAAGUUACCUACAGGUGCAAUUCCUUUCUCAGUGCCCAGUCCCACAAAGUAUCGCUUCAGUCAAGAUAAAAUGUAACUGGCCUGAGCACAAGAUCGUGUCAUCAUGCCACAUCUGUCAUUUGGAGUGUGAGAGGAAUGUACCGUAUUAUGCUGUGGGACUCUGAGUGAACAAGCAGUAACAUCUGACAUGUAACUGUCAUCUCAUCCUCCACAGUUGAAGAGACUUAGCUACAUUAAGAAAAAAUGGUUUAACCGACGACUCAAUGAGCCCUUUAUAUAAAACAACAAUUGAGGGCUUGCUGUGUUGGAUGUGCUUGCUAUUUAAGAGUCUUGGUUCCACAGUUUCCAGCUUCUAACUCAGCCUUUACAAAUGAAUCUGCAGAUCUGAAGUUUUUUGAAUAAAAUAAGACAGUUAUAAGUUUUUAUUGUUCAAACAAAGAGUAAUUUAAUAUCUUGAAAGAAAUUUACAUUAGCUUGCUUUUAAACAAAACAAAAAUAAUAGCUGAUAGCAACUUUGAUUUGCAGAAAAGAAAAAACAUGAGUUGUUAUGACUGGAAUAAAGAAUACUUUAAACUCCUGCAAAAAGUACUCAGCAUGAAGUGGGAGGCUCAUGACCAAUUCAUCUAUAUUAUUAGGAAAAUGGUUCAUUAGCCUGCCAGUGGGAGUUGCAUCUAAGAAGCCUGUUGGACUCUGUGAUCUGUGGACAAAGGAAAGAGCGGAAUCACAAGUCUUUGCCUUUUAUUGUAGUUAGAAUUUAUGUAGUAAUGCAGACAAUAGCUUUAAUCUUGGCCAAGAUUAAAAUUACAGGAACAGCAAACAAUUUUAUUAUAGCUUUUACAACAUCAUCAGUAGUAAAGCAGGUUUUGAAAGUUAAGUAAUGAUCUUGAAAGUAAAAUAAAUGUCUUUAAGUCUUUGUUGUUUUCCUUCAGUAAAACAAAAUAAAUGCAUGAGGGUCAGAAUAUCAAGAAUUUGAUGACUUCAUAGCAAAAUUGUACUACCUCUACUCAACUGUGACUUGUACACAGAUAAUAGCAACUGAAGUUACAGCAGAUUAAAGCUGCUAUUACAGAUGUAGGUUGCACAGAGUGAUAGUUACUAUUUAUGGACAUCUUUUUGCUUCAGAAAGUUUAGAGUCCUUAUGAAGGUUAACUGAUUUAAAUCUUUUUAGAGAUAAUACUGCCUAUCUGAUCAUUCAUUGUUUUAGAAAAAGUCUUAGAUUCAUAUAAUCUUCAAGUAUCUGUAAUGUACAUGUCUGUAACUGUCUGUUAUCUGAGCUCUCCUUACAAGCAGUCAAGUAUACACUUCUAGAAAACUGUUCUUGUAACAUAC